AUUGAACGCUGGCGGCAGGCCUAACACAUGCAAGUCGGACGGUAGCACAGGGGAGCUUGCUCCUCGGGUGACGAGUGGCGGACGGGUGAGUAAUGUCUGGGGAUCUGCCCGAUAGAGGGGGAUAACCACUGGAAACGGUGGCUAAUACCGCAUAAUGUCGCAAGACCAAAGAGGGGGACCUUCGGGCCUCUCACUAUCGGAUGAACCCAGAUGGGAUUAGCUAGUAGGCGGGGUAACGGCCCACCUAGGCGACGAUCCCUAGCGGGUCGGAGGGGAUGACCAGCCAGACUGGAACUGCGACACGGUCAGGACUCCUACGGGAGGAAGCAGUGGGGAAUAUUGCACAAUGGGCGCAAGCCUGAUGCAGCCAGGCCGCGUGUAUGAAGAAGGCCUUCGGGUUGGAAAGUACUUUCAGCGGGGAGGGAGGCGAUGUGGUUAAUAACCGCGUCGAUUGACGUUACCCGCAGAAGAAGCACCGGCUAACUCCGUGCCAGCAGCCGCCGUAA
rnacentral:rRNA from 1 species